rnacentral:misc_RNA from 1 species
AGCAUAUGUAAAAGCACUUUCACAUUUGUCGCUGCGCUUAUGCGCAUUAGCAAUUGCUUUUUGCCCUUUUGACUACACUGAGGAUGGGAGAAUCAUAUUUGUUGAAUGGGUCAAACUUUCUCUGCUCUAAUGUAAACUUUCUAAUCUCUCUACUUAAACUUUGUACUUUUCUAUAAUAAAGUUUGGCGAACAAAUUGAAUUGCCACUGGGUUGAUUGGGUUGCCUGGAUUAGAAAGUUCGAUGCUU